CUUGACGGACCCGAUCCACAACGGCUCGCCGGCGCGACGGUCCCGCCCGUACGUGGCGAGCAGGGCCUGGGCCUC
rnacentral:antisense_RNA from 1 species